rnacentral:misc_RNA from 1 species
GGUAAUCAGCCAAGCUCUUCUCCAUACUGUAAAUUGAGGAGUCGGCACUAUUCUUGAUUUCAAUCAAAGCUUUCCUUUCCUGGUCCUUCUGUGCAUGCAGCUCGGCCUCUUUGACCAUCUUCUCAAUCUCGUCCUCAGACAGGCCACCUGAAGAACGGAUUGUAAUCUGCUGCUCCUUACCAGUGGACUUGUCUUGAGCAGAUACAGUGGUAAUUCCAUUGGCAUCAAUGUCAAAUGUCACCUCGAUUUGAGGCAAACCCCUAGGUGCUGGUGGGAUCCCUACUAGCUCAAAUUCGCCAAGAAGCUUGUUGUCCUUGGCGAAAUCACGCUCACCUUGCAGUACACGGACACCAACUUGUGUCUGAUUGUCGGCCGCGGUGGAGAAUGUCUGACUCUUCUUCGUGGGAAUGGUUGUGUUCCUAGGGAUAAGUUUGGUAAAGAUACCACCAAGAGUC